CUACACAUGCAGUCGAGCGGUAGAGAGAAGCUUGCUUCUCUUGAGAGCGGCGGACGGGUGAGUAAUGCCUAGGAAUCUGCCUGGUAGUGGGGGAUAACGUUCGGAAACGGACGCUAAUACCGCAUACGUCCUACGGGAGAAAGCAGGGGACCUUCGGGCCUUGCGCUAUCAGAUGAGCCUAGGUCGGAUUAGCUAGUUGGUGAGGUAAUGGCUCACCAAGGCGACGAUCCGUAACUGGUCUGAGAGGAUGAUCAGUCACACUGGAACUGAGACACGGUCCAGACUCCUACGGGAGGCAGCAGUGGGGAAUAUUGGACAAUGGGCGAAAGCCUGAUCCAGCCAUGCCGCGUGUGUGAAGAAGGUCUUCGGAUUGUAAAGCACUUUAAGUUGGGAGGAAGGGUUGUAGAUUAAUACUCUGCAAUUUUGACGUUACCGACAGAAUAAGCACCGGCUAACUCUGUGCCAGCAGCCGCGGUAAUACAGAGGGUGCAAGCGUUAAUCGGAAUUACUGGGCGUAAAGCGCGCGUAGGUGGUUUGUUAAGUUGGAUGUGAAAUCCCCG
rnacentral:rRNA from 1 species